rnacentral:rRNA from 1 species
GACGGAAGGUGCAAGCGUUGCUCGGAAUCACUGGGCGUAAAGGGUGCGUAGGCGGCGUGGCAAGUCUGAUGUGAAAUCCCGGGGCUCAACCCCGGAACUGCAUUGGAUACUGCCAUGCUAGAGUACUGGAGAGGAGAUUGGAAUUUACGGUGUAGCAGUGAAAUGCGUAGAUAUCGUAAGGAAGACCAGUGGCGAAGGCGAAUCUCUGGACAGUUACUGACGCUGAGGCACGAAGGCCAGGGGAGCAAACGGG